AGCGAACGCUGGCGGCAGGCCUAACACAUGCAAGUCGAACGAAGUCUUCGGACUUAGUGGCGGACGGGUGAGUAACACGUGGGAACGUACCUUUUGGUUCGGAACAACACAGGGAAACUUGAGCUAAUACCGGAUGAGCCCUUAGGGGGAAAGAUUUAUCGCCGAAAGAGCGGCCCGCGUUAGAUUAGCUAGUUGGUGAGGUAAAGGCUCACCAAGGCUACGAUCUAUAGCUGGUCUGAGAGGAUGAUCAGCCACGCUGGGACUGAGACACGGCCCAGACUCCUACGGGAGGCAGCAGUGGGGAAUCUUGCGCAAUGGGCGAAAGCCUGACGCAGCCAUGCCGCGUGAAUGAUGAAGGUCUUAGGAUUGUAAAAUUCUUUUACCAGGGACGAUAAUGACGGUACCUGGAGAAAAAGCCCCGGCUAACUUCGUGCCAGCAGCCGCCGUAAAAC
rnacentral:rRNA from 1 species